rnacentral:rRNA from 1 species
GAUGAACGCUGGCGGCGUGCCUAAUACAUGCAAGUCGAGCGAACAGACGAGGAGCUUGCUCCUUUGACGUUAGCGGCGGACGGGUGAGUAACACGUAGGUAACCUACCUAUAAGACUGGGAUAACUUCGGGAAACCGGAGCUAAUACCGGCUAAUAUUUCGAACCGCAUGGUUCGAUAGUGAAAGAUGGCUUUGCUAUCACUUAUAGAUGGACCUGCGCCGUAUUAGCUAGUUGGUAAGGUAACGGCUUACCAAGGCAACGAUACGUAGCCGACCUGAGAGGGUGAUCGGCCACACUGGAACUGAGACACGGUCCAGACUCCUACGGGAGGCAGCAGUAGGGAAUCUUCCGCAAUGGGCGAAAGCCUGACGGAGCAACGCCGCGUGAGUGAUGAAGGUCUUCGGAUCGUAAAACUCUGUUAUUAGGGAAGAACAAACGUGUAAGUAACUGUGCACGUCUUGACGGUACCUAAUCAGAAAGCCACGGCUAACUACGUG